rnacentral:misc_RNA from 1 species
CUUCUUAACAUUAUUAAGGUCCUCACUCGAAUUUGAAACACUCUUCCCCGUACGUUUUACAGCAUGUUUAGGUCUCGGAACUGUGCGCUUAAUCUUUAUUACUUUUUGAUGAGUAGCAUUUUUGGCCAAUGAUUGAUUGCUUGGAGAACUGCUUUUAACAUUGGUUUUUAAAGGCCUAGCGUUAACAGAUAAUUCAGUCUGGCCCUUGGUUAUUUCCUUCUUCAGAGUUGCAACAACAGGUUCCACUGCUACAUUCUCAGCAACCUCUCUGACAAUUUGAUGCUUUCUUGACUUCUCCACAGGCUGAUGUUGUAACCCUGCGUCAACUUGAGUCAAAGACUGAGAA